UACGUAGGGUGCGAGCGUUGUCCGGAAUUACUGGGCGUAAAGAGCUCGUAGGUGGUUUGUCGCGUUGUUCGUGAAAACUCACAACUCAAUUGUGGGCGUGCGGGCGAUACGGGGCAGACUGGAGUACUGCAGGGGAGACUGGAAUUCCUGGUGUAGCGGUGGAAUGCGCAGAUAUCAGGAGGAACACCGGUGGCGAAGGCGGG
rnacentral:rRNA from 1 species